UACGAAGGGGGCUAGCGUUGUUCGGAAUUACUGGGCGUAAAGGGCGCGUAGGCGGCGUGUCAAGUCAGGCGUGAAAGCCCCGGGCUCAACCUGGGAACCGCGCUUGAGACUGGCAUGCUCGAGUUCGGGAGAGGAUGGUGGAAUUCCCAGUGUAGAGGUGAAAUUCGUAGAUAUUGGAAAGAACACCGGUGGCGAAGGCGGCCAUCUGGACCGCAACUGACGCUGAGGCGCGAAAGCGUGGGGAGCAAACAGG
rnacentral:rRNA from 1 species